AGGCAAUACCAUCGUGAACAUAGAAAUAGGUAAAGAUUUCAUGACAAAGAUGAAAAUGCAAAUAUGAAAUUGUUCUGUAGCUAUAACAUAAUUAAGAAUACAAGUAGUGAUAAUUAUGUUAUGUUUGUCAAAUCAGAGACAGCUUAGUGUAUUAAGAGCAAGAAUGCUAGAGUCAGAUGGCCUGGACUCCAAGCUCUACCUCUUACUAGUUGUAUUAGUUGGGGCUCUCCAGAGAAACAUAAGAGAGAAAGGAAGAGAACAUGAUUAUAAGAAAUUUGGCUGAUAAAAUCACGCAGGCUAAGUCCAAACCCAGGAGAGCCAAUGGCAUAAGUUGCAGUCCAAGUCUAAGUCCAAGAAUCAGGAGAGCCAGUGAUACAAGUUCCAGUCUAAGGCCAACUCUGAAACCAGCAGAACAUCUAUGUUCCAGCUCAUUCAGGUAGAGAGAACAAAUAUAU
rnacentral:lncRNA from 1 species